UUCAAAUAAGAUGGAUGAUUUAAAUUUGGUCAUCCGAUGAUUAUCUACACUAGUUUCAUCUAUAUAUGACAUCCUCUUCGGAAGUGUUUGGUUGCCUGCAUGGAACUUAGCUCAUACCAGUGGAGCAGACAUGUAUGUUUGGUUGUCUGCAUGCAAAUAAAUGCAAAUAAGAGCCUGCACCCGCGGGUGCAAAUAUGGGCUCACAGCCAGGCUGAGGAACGCCCAAUUUCUCGUGCAGGCGGUCGUCGUCGGGGCGUCGCUCCUUGGCCGUCGUCGCCUCAUCGUCGUCACGGCCGUCGCUCCUCAGUCGUCUCAUCGCGGCCGUGGCUCCUCAGUCGUCGCGGCCGUCGUCGCCCCGUUGUCUCCAAUGUCGUCUUCGCUGGAUCCGCUGCCGCCGCGCCGCCCGUCACUGGAUCN
rnacentral:lncRNA from 1 species